CAAUUUUUUGAGAGUUUGAUCCUGGCUCAGGAUGAACGCUGGCUGUGUGCCUAAUACAUGCAUGUCGAGCGAAAGUACUUGUACUUUAGCGGCAAAUGGGUGAGUAACACGUACUCAACCUACCUCACAGACUGGAAUAACCAAGGGAAACUUUGGCUAAUGCCGGAUACACCUUAACUUCGCAUGAAGAUAAGGUUAAAGGAACUAUUGUUUCACUGGGAGAUGGGGGUGCGUUACAUUAGUUAGUUGGCGGUGUAAUAGACCACCAAGACGAUGAUGUAUAGCCGGGUUGAGAGACCGAACGGCCACACUGGGACUGAGAUACGGCCCAGACUUCUACGGGAGGCAGCAGUAGGGAAUAUUCCACAAUGGGCGAAAGCCUGAUGGAGCGACACAGCGUGCAGGAUGAAGGUCUUCGGAUCGUAAACUGCUGUUAUACAGAAAGAAAAGAUAAGGGAGUGGAAAGCCCUUAUUAUGACGGUACUGUAUCAGAAAGUGACGGCAAACUAUGUGCCAGCAGCCGCGGUAAUACAUAGGUCACAAGCGUUAUCCGAAAUUAUUGGGCGUAAAGCGUCCGUAGGUUGUCUGUUAAGUCUGAAGUCAAAAACCGAAGCCCAACUUCGGCUCGCUUCAGAUACUGGCAAACUAGAGUUAUAGAGAGGUUAGUGGAAUUUCAUGUGAAGCGGUGGAAUGCGUAGAUAUAUGAAAGAACACCAAUGGCGAAGGCAGCUAACUGGCUAUAUACUGACACUGAGGGACGAAAGCGUGGGGAGCAAACAGGAUUAGAUACCCUGGUAGUCCACGCCGUAAACGAUGAUCAUUAGUUGGUGGAGCAAUUCACCGACGCAGCUAACGCAUUAAAUGAUCCGCCUGAGUAGUAUGCUCGCAAGAGUGAAACUUAAAGGAAUUGACGGGGACCCGCACAAGCGGUGGAGCAUGUGGUUUAAUUUGACGAUACGCGUAGAACCUUACCCACUCUUGACAUCUUCGGCAAAGCUAUAGAGAUAUAGUGGAGGUUAACCGAAUGACAGAUGGUGCAUGGUUGUCGUCAGCUCGUGUCGUGAGAUGUUUGGUUAAGUCCUGCAACGAGCGCAACCCCUAUCCUUAGUUACUAACAUUAAGUUGAGCACUUUAAGGAUACUGCCUAGGUAACUGGGAGGAAGGUGGGGAUGACGUCAAAUCAUCAUGCCUCUUACGAGUGGGGCAACACACGUGCUACAAUGGCCGGUACAAAGAGACGCAAUAUGGUGACAUGGAGCAAAUCUGAAAAACCGGUCUCAGUUCGGAUUGAAGGCUGCAAUUCGCCUUCAUGAAGUCGGAAUCGCUAGUAAUCGUAGAUCAGCUACGCUACGGUGAAUACGUUCUCGGGUCUUGUACACACCGCCCGUCACACCAUGGGAGCCGGUAAUACCCAAAGUCGGUUUAGCUAACUACGGAAGCGACUGCCUAAGGUAGGAUUGGUGACUGGGGUGAAGUCGUAACAAGGUAUCCCUACGAGAACGUGGGGAUGGAUCACCUCCUUUCUACGGAG
rnacentral:rRNA from 1 species